GUGGCUCAGUGGCAGAACAUCUGCUUUGUGUGCAGAAGGUCCCAGGUUCCUGCCUGAAACCCUGGACA